UAUCAUUAUUGUGUCCUGUUGAUAUUUCCAUAAGGGAUUCAUUAAUGCAAUUGUAAUGAUGUGGGUUGUAGUAUCAUUAUUGAGUCCUGUUGAUAUUUCCAUAAGGGAUUCAUUAAUGCAACUGUAAUGAUGUGGGUUGUAGUAUCAUUAUUGUGUCCUGUUGAUAUUUCCAUAAGGGAUUCAUUAAUGCAACUGUAAUGAUGUGGGUUGUAGUAUCAUUAUUGAGUCCUGUUGAUAUUUCCAUAAGGGAUUCAUUAAUGCAACUGUAUUGAUGUGGGUUGUAGUAUCAUUAUUGAGUCCUGUUGAUAUUUCCAUAAGGGAUUCAUUAAUGCAACUGUAAUGAUGUGGGUUGUAGUAUCAUUAUUGAGUCCUGUUGAUAUUUCCAUAAGGGAUUCAUUAAUGCAAUUGUAAUGAUGUGGGUUGUAGUAUCAUUAUUGAGUCCUGUUGAUAUUUCCAUAAGGGAUUCAUUAAUGCAAUUGUAAUGAUGUGGGUUGUAUCAUUAGAGCUGUUUUAUCUGUCUGUGGAAAUCACACAGUUCUGACUGUUUAUUCCUCCUUCUCAUUGUGUUCAAACUCAGCAAAGCCCAAAGCUCCCUGGUGUAGAUUAGACCUUCCAUCUGGUUAUGAAGGACAGAGACAGAGACACUAACACUGCCAAUGCAUCAGAUUAAUAUGAUUCUUUAUUUCAUGUGCAUGAUGAUCAGAGUUCAGUAGUGCAGGAGUUUGUGUUUACUGCAGUGCUCUCAGUCUCUAUAGUGCUGUUUAAUCUCCAGCAUUUCUGACCUCAGAUCAGACAGCAGCAGCAGAACCAGCUGGACCUGUGCUGUGUUGCUGCUCUGCUACUGGAAACCUCACAGGUGAGAGAAGAGUGUAGUUACACAAUAACCACCACUAGAUGGCACAGGCUUUCACUAUAGGAAGGUG